rnacentral:rRNA from 1 species
UACGUAGGGUGCGAGCGUUGUCCGGAAUUACUGGGCGUAAAGCGCGCGUAGGCGGCUGUCUAAGUCGGGUGUGAAAGCCCCGGCUCAACCUGGGAACUGCAUUCGAUACUGGACGGCUAGAGUAUGAGAGAGGGAGGUAGAAUUCCACGUGUAGCGGUGAAAUGCGUAGAUAUGUGGAGGAUACCGGUGGCGAAGGCGGCCAUCCUGGUUCAAUACUGACGCUGAGGUGCGAAAGCGUGGGGAGCAAACAGG